GUCAGCUAUCACAUCUUUAGGAUUUUACUCAGAAAAGAGACUUACACAAAGUGUUUUCUGCAAACUGUCAUAACAACAGCAGCCAUUUGUGACAUCAUGGAGUGAAGUGGGACAUUAUUCUCUGAGCCAAACAAUUUCUUCAAAUCAAACCCACAGAAGAAAAAUGCAGAUACCAGGUAAGCCUGGUUGUGUAUAUUCUCAUCUUAUUUUCUCCUUUUAAAUGCCCAGAUUUCCUGAACUGGCUAGAUGUGGGUAGUUCCAAUGUGACUGUUAUUCCUGGGGCUUUCUUACAUACUCCAACUUCCAUUCUGUGAAUGAAUCCAAAGAAGGUUGCCUUGACAACCAUUCACCUCUCUCUCGUCAAGCACCCUGAACAGCCUCAAGUGCUUCAUUGAGAUAAAAGCCCGCAGAGCACCCAGACUCAGGACCUCUGAUGACGCACAGCAGCUGAGAGGCUAACCUGGGAUGUGCUGCUGUAGAUAAAAGUCCUGAAACACUUCCUUUCCAUCACCUUUCCUGUCAGCUACCACAGCCAUUCCCACUGACAGACUUGAUGUGUCGGCAUCAGCACAGCCCUAGAACAAUGAAAAAAAUACAAAGAACAACAAGAACCUAUUCAGUGUUUUUCACCUUGAAUGAUGAAUCUCUCAGGCCUCAUAUCCUGGGCCAGUGGGCCCAUCAAGGAGAGAGGAAAGAGCCAACGUCUGAUAGGUGCCUACUCCGUAGCAGAGCUUCACCUAAGUUGAGUCCUCAAUUCCACACUCUGUUCGUUUGAAACAAUACUAGUCCCAGCUGUGACAUAAAAAGAUGGCAUGUUCUAUUUUAAGAGGCAGUUUCUUUGGUCUGGUUUCUUUGUAUUGAUUCUGUGUGGUCAGAAGUAACUAGGAAUACUGUCUUCACCAAGAGAAAACUUAGUAAUUUGGGAUUGUUUAACCCAUUGAAGGGUAAUUUGAAGAGUUUACACUAUGUGGAU
rnacentral:lncRNA from 1 species